rnacentral:lncRNA from 1 species
GGUCACUGUCUGCUCUCCAUUCUUGUCCCUGAGUCACUGCCUGGGUCUGAAAAGGGGAAAGCCAGCCUUGCUGGCUGCAGCCACCCUGCUUGACUCCGCUGGUUCUGGGGAUCCCCACUGUCCCUCGGGGUCUUCUAAUGCCUGGGGUCCGGCAGUUGCCGAGGACAGCAGGCAGACAGUAGAGUCAGGAGCCCUCUCCACUUUGCUGCCUGUUCUCCAUGGAGCCUGCCUCUGGGGAAUCUGUGAGGUGUGUGGUGUUUUUUUCCAGUCCCUUCUGCUGGUGUCAGGUCAGCCGCCCACAAGCCACCCGCCCAGGGGGCUCACAUCAGCUACCUUCACUUCAACCCGCGGCUCUUGGCUCGCUCAUACCGAAAGCUGGCUGGCAUCCUGGAGAACUCAUGCGCCCUCACACGGAAGCCACGGAAUUUCCCCAGUAAGGUGUCUUUGGCAACUCCAAGACCACAGGAAGUUCACAGCUGGUGAGACACAGAAUGUGAGGGAGGAGGCGCCAGCCGUGACCACUGUCUGGGGCCCCUCCCAAGGGGACAGGAAAGCUCCGAGUCUCCACAGACAGGACCCUGACACCACCAGGGAGCACCUCGGCUGCAGGUGGAGAAACUGAGGCACAGAGAAGUUCAGUGAUUUUCCCCCAUUCUUCUGGAGAACCGGGAUGGUAACGUAAACCGUCUGUCAGAGACUUUGCCUCUGUGCGAGCUCAUAAUGAGAGCAUCUGUUUGGUUUGGAGCUACCUAGUAACUAACCCAGAUAACAACCAGAUUUUACCCACUCCCAACCAAGAUGAGAUCAACUUAAGCCCGUAAUUCCAUGACUUGUGGGAAGUUCAUUCUCUUCUUGAAAAUUUCUAUGAAUUACGAGAGGCUUGUGUUUUGUUUCCUGUGGGUUCACAUUCUCUAUGCAGCAUUUCUGAGCUGUUUCUUUGUCUCUAUCCUGUCUUGGUGAUGGCCGAUUGGUGGGUACAGCCCCUUCUUAAUUUAACCCCUCCCUCCCCUACCCAAACCAUGCAUGAAUUAAGAUUUGGGGGGCUGCUGUGACCAAUAGAUGCCAUGGUAUGUUGACUGUAACAUAGAAUUCCCUCCCCUUCCCGCCUCACAAGCAAGGCCAACUGUGGACUGGGAAAUGCAGUGUCCUGACAUUAAAGGAGUGGCUGGCUGCAGAGAGAAGGCCUGGAGGCGUCCAAGGCCUGUGGCCUGUGGCCUCAGCCCUUCCCAAUCUGUGAGGGCUGAGGAAUAAGGAGAGGAAGGGCGAGGGAAGGGGAUAUGCUGGGACGCGAUUCAGUGCCAUCCUGGUACCUCAGAACACAGGAACUCAAUUAACAAACAGUAAACUUUUGGCUGCUUUCUUGCUGACCAUGCAGGUAAUUGUAUAAGGUUGAACGUUCCCUAAACUAUUAUACUUCUCUGACUUUUAAACACCUAUUAUCUAAAACCUGGUUGUGAUUUUUAACUGCAUUAGUUUAUAUUGCAUCCCUUUUGUAUUACAUGUUUACAUGUUUUUGUAUUACAUGUGUAUAACUGUAUUUAGGAGUCAUCUGUGAUUUCUGUUCCUGAAUUACUGCUUUACCUUUACCUAUGGGACUUUGGGCAAGUCACUUCAUUUCUUCUGAUCUCAGUUUCUUCAGUUGCAAAAUGAAGAUUAUAAUUAUCUUCAGAGGACCAUCAUGAGGAUUAAAUAAUACAUAAAAAAGUGCAUGGUACAGUGUCUGAAGGGCAGUAAUGGAUCGGUACAUGUUAGCAAUCAUUAUUUCUCCCAUCAACCAAGAGCUGACUGUAGUUUGGCUGAUAUAGGGGAGAUAGGAUGGCAGUAAGCAGUCACCAAUUAGAAGGAUCUUGUGUUUUUACCCAAAGGAUGGAUUUCAUCCUAACAGUUUUUCAAGCCAUCUCUAGUGGGAGUGGGAUUUAUGU